GACGAACGCUGGCGGCGUGCUUAACACAUGCAAGUCGAGCGGGAAACUUCGGUUUCCAGCGGCGGACGGGUGAGUAACACGUGGGCAACCUGCCUCACAAUGAGGGAUAGCCCUCCGAAAGGAGGAUUAAUACCUCAUAACACAAGAGAAACGCAUGUUUCUCUUGCCAAAGAAUUUCGUUGUGAGAUGGGCCCGCGGCGCAUUAGCUUGUUGGUGAGGUAACGGCUCACCAAGGCUUCGAUGCGUAGCCGACCUGAGAGGGUGAUCGGCCACAUUGGAACUGAGACACGGUCCAGACUCCUACGGGAGGCAGCAGCGGGGAAUAUUGCACAAUGGAGGAAACUCUGAUGCAGCAACGCCGCGUGAGUGAUGAAGGUCUUCGGAUUGUAAAGCUCUGUCUUCUGGGACGAUAAUGACGGUACCAGAGGAGGAAGCCACGGCUAACUACGUGCCAGCCGCCGCCGUAACAC
rnacentral:rRNA from 1 species